rnacentral:rRNA from 1 species
GACGAACGCUGGCGGCGUGCUUAACACAUGCAAGUCGAACGGAAAGGCCCUGCUUUUGUGGGGUGCUCGAGUGGCGAACGGGUGAGUAACACGUGAGUAACCUGCCCUUUACUUUGGGAUAACUUCAGGCAACUGGGUCUAAUACCGGAUAGGAGCUCCUGCUGCAUGGUGGGGGUUGGAAAGUUUCGGCGGUUGUGGAUGGACUCGCGGCUUAUCAGCGUGUUGGUGGGGUACUGGCUUACCAAGGCUUUGACGGGUAGCCGGCCUGAGAGGGUGACCGGCCACAUUGGGAAUGAGAUACGGCCCAGACUCCUACGGGAGGCAGCAGUGGGGAAUAUUGCACAAUGGGCGGAAGCCUGAUGCAGCAACGCCGCGUGCGGGAUGACGGCCUUCGGGUUGUAAACCGCUUUCGCCUGUGACGAAGCGUGAGUGACGGUAAUGGGUAAAGAAGCACCGGCUAAAUACGUG